rnacentral:sRNA from 1 species
AAACAUCAGAUUUUAUUACAUAUAAAUAUUUUGAGCAGCACCUUUUUACUGUAUUUUGGAAAAGCAUUUCUGUCUUCAUUGAGCCAAGUGGCAACACAUAUGUAAUAUACUGAUGCUGAAUUUGCGGUGGGUUGAUUUUUGUCCAUUGCUGGCUUUCACAUGGAAGCAUGAAUAUUGUCUCCCCGCUACCCCUUUUGAGUGACAUCCUUCCAGUGCCUCCAUUUCUCAAGUUGCAGGAAGGAUCUGAGUCUCUCCCUGCGGAGACAGCCCUGAAGAACUCCUGUAACGUCAAGCUGGCAAUUUCCAAGAAGCAAUCUGGAACCUGCAUUUCCAAAGAGACCCACAAGAAAGAAAAGACGUGAUGCUGGGAAGCACUGGUGCCAGAGCCCUCACUGGCGGAUGCUGCCUGUUUCUUGGGUAGUGGGCUAGGAGCAUCCCUGCUCUAGCGGCCCCUGAUUCUGCAACCCUAGGAAUCCUCUGCUCCCUCAUCAGACACAAACCUUGAUAAGACAGCUCCAAUGAGAAAGCCCUGGGAGAAGGUGAAUUAAGGACACUUCCUUUGUAGGAGGAGCUGAUCCUGCUAAUGGGUGACUUUUUAUUAAGCAGGUCAGAAAAUCUUACUGAAAGUAAAUCUGUGGCUCAAAGAGACUUUGGUAUUCUUUUCCCUAGCACUAACUGGAAAGGAGUGCCCC